rnacentral:rRNA from 1 species
CGUGUAGGCGGGAAAGAAAGUCAGAAGUGAAAUCCCACGGCUUAACUGUGGAGCUGCUUCUGAAACUUCUUUUCUUGAGUGUCGGAGAGGAAAGUGGAAUUCCAAGUGUAGCGGUGAAAUGCGUAGAGAUUUGGAGGAACACCAGUGGCGAAGGCGGCUUUCUGGACGAUAACUGACGCUGAGGCGCGAAAGCGUGGGGAGCAAACAGGAUUAGAUACCCUGGUAGUCCGCGCUGUAAACGAUGGAUACUAGGUGUAGGAGGUAUCGACCCCUUCUGUGCCGCAGUUAACACAAUAAGUAUCCCACCUGGGGAGUACGGCCGCAAGGUUGAA